AACAAACAAAAACAUAGACGGGGUUAAAAAUGGUGAGCUUUUCUUUUUACCAGUUUUUAUCGCUCUCUUUUUUUAAAGGUAGUGUCCGAGAACACCCCUCCACCCCUCCAGUAUUUCCCACUCCCGGAGACAUUUCUGGCGAAUGGCAAAGUCCAUGACCCCUGCUCCAUCUCACCUCCUUGGAGGUGAGCCACAACUAGCCUCACUGCCCUCCCUCAGAAAUGCUUUGCAAGCAAGGAGGGACCAGGCUCAGGGAAGAGGCCUGGGAUGUUCUGAAGUCCCAGAUCUCGCAGGGCCUGAGCAGUAGGGAGAAGUCUGAGGAGCAUGCUUUGUGAAAGGAGUAACACAGAGCCAUCUUCUGGAAAACUCCCAGGACUAUGCCACAGUGGAGUCCCAUUUGGGGAUGAGGUCAAGAACUGGGUGUUGCCCAGGCUGGAGGCUAGGCCGCCUUCCCUGAGUGCUCUCUCCCAGGGUCUACAUUGUGUCUGCACAUACCCAGGGUCCUUGGGGGGCUAUUGCUCAGGCCUCCAGGGCUAGGGAGGAGACCAAAAGUGGGAAGAUGCCUCCUUUCAGCCCUGGCUAAGAGAAUCUGCAUUCUGUGCCCUUACAGGAGGAUGUGAAGGUGUUUGAGGCACUGUGCUGUUCCAGCUCUGAGCCCCUGGGGGUGGGGGACGGGUUCACCAUCAUCUCCCAGUCCUGCCAUACCAGUCCCCCAGCUACCCCUGUGUGUCCUCCCCAACCUCCAAGACAGGUGUCCAGGGACAUUGGUGUGAUCAUCCCCAUGUGGUCCAAUUAGGCCCCUCUGAGCUCAGGACCCUGGCACCUUGUCCAUGUGGGACAGUCUCGAGACAGGUAAUGUCCUUAAACAAAAAUUAACCUUGAGACUAAGAAAGAGCCUUUUGUCAGCUGCCCUUGGCUUUCCUCUCUGAGGCUGUGGGAGUAAGGGUGUUUGAGCAAAGAAAGGAAGUGAAAGGAAACAGCCAAAAAUCAAAAUGAAACUGACCAACACGUACGUGUUUGCUGCUGAGACCUGAGGUCCAGGGAGGGGCAGCCCCACUCUCCCUGCUGAGGCUACUGGGGUAGCCUUCAGGUGUCAGGGGAACCUGCAGGCCUGCCGACCCCAAGAUCCCUGUGUCCACCCAAUAACCAUACCAGUACUGCAGCCCUCCAGGUGGGAGCUCUCCCCCAAUAGGCAAAAGAGGAUCAAUAGGCAAAAGUGGAUGCAAGACUCUCUGGGGCCUGGGAGAACCCUGACCCUCGCCCAGCCCACCCACCUGGGAGGGGCUAGAAGCCUGCCUCCUCCCUCGACAGCUCCUACCAUCACCAUGCCUCUCUACGGGUCUUAAGGAGUCCAUGCCCCUCUUGGGGGAUGGGUGGGAACAGUUUUUGGGUGGCACUGGUGUGGACUCUGUGAGGGAGUGAUACCCUGGGUGAUGCCUUAGGAAGGAUGGGACAUGACAGGGGAACCUGCAGGUUUGAGACAUCUGUUCAAGUGUGGGCAGUGCAGGGGAAGGAACAGACUCCUUGGAGCAGGGACUGAGAUAGGGUAUGGAGAUCUGAGAGAAGGGGAGGGGCUAGUGAGGGGGUGGAAGGAGGGAGAGCGAGCCUCAGAGAGUGGGAAAGGGCUUGGGUGGGGAGAGGGAGCUUCAGGGCCCAAGUGAUGUGGACAGGAGGCCCUUCUCUUGCAUCCUGUUCCUGACUGCGACUGCUAUGGCUAUCCAUGCCCCUCCCACCCCAAUAUACCUGCUGGGAGGGACGCAGGAGACCCUGGUUCCUCCCCAGGGCUUGUACCCAACUGGAGUGCCCCAUUGGUCAAGUUCCCUCUGGCCUGCAUUUCGCCAAGUUCAAGGGUGGCCCAAGCCUGCAGGCCCCUCGCACCCAGAACCUGGGGCCGAGUGGACCAACAACCAAGCAGUCCUGGUCACUCACAUUCGGAGAGGAAGCAUGGAGAGGAGAAGCGGCGCCUCCCUUCCGGGGUGUACACUCACCGCUUCCUACCCUGCGGCGACCCCCGACCUAGCCUGGCGGCGCAGCCUGGCGGCGCAGCCCGGCGGCGCGGGAACCCUACGCAAAGCAAAGCGGAGAAAAGUGGUGGUGACACAUGAAACAGAGACAAAGCAAGGAGGAUGGGCCACAGCUACUAAGGGAAGGAAUGCUCAGGGACACCUCAGUAGCAAAGCACCCACUUCAUCAACUAUCUGGAGACUGAUCUGGUUCUGUUUCGUUUUCAACAAAAGAAUGUAACCUAAAUCUAACAGGGUUAGCUUGUUUAUUUCAAGAAUGCCAGUCAAUUCCCAAACAUCAGCCUGGCCCUGGCAGCCUUGAAGCCACACAGGUUACAGUGCCAGCUGCUCCACUGUCCCCCUGCAGAUUCACUCAUCUGAUUCAUCUGCCAAAUGGAAAGUCCCCAAACACCUGCCUGGCCACAUCACACCUCUCAAAAAACCUUCCACUGACUCCUACCAUCUAUGGUAUCAUGUCCAGAUACAGCAGCAGUAUGAUGUUCUGGUAUCCAGUGAGGAGGGUAGACUGGAUGGGGGAUUGUCACAAGAGACCAUCACUCAAGCCAGUUGACUGACUUAAGUAGGAAGGAUGAUCCUUGGGGACAAAAAUCUCUGAGAGUAACCCUGCCCCUUUUGAGAUGCUUCUUGAGUGGGAGGUGUCAUGGCCUUUUACAGCCCAUGAGGGUUAAAAUCAGACAUUCCCCACCCCUUCUCCCAGUAUGGAGACCCUUCAGCUGGCUCUGGCUUUGCCAUCUCACUCUAAGAGGGCAUUGAAUUUCUUCAUGUCCUAAAAUGCCACUCUAUGGGGGGUGGCGUAGGGUAUCAGGGUUAGGAAGCCAGAGGGAUGAGCACAGGGGCUUCUGGUGGUCAGAGGGCUUCAUAGACUCCCAAGAGAAUCCCACAGUUUGCAGAGAGAGUGGAGACAGCCAGGCCGAGGAGAACCAGUUAAGGUCAGUCCAGUGCUCACCAUUUCCAGGUGAGUGACUGUGAGGAAGGUGGUUGCUGUGGACGGAAUGUCUGUGUCCCCCUGACAAAUCCAUAUGUUGAAACUCUAAUCCCAAUGUGAUACUGUUUGGAGGUGGGGUCUUUGGGAGGUAAUUAGGCCAUAAGAUGGACCUCAUGAAUGGGACCAGUGCCCUUAUAAGAGGCCAGCCAGCCAGCUAGUUUUCUUUCUGUCAUGUGGGGCUAACAAGAAGGUAGAAAUCAGUAACGCAGAAGGGGCCUUUAACCAGAACCUGACCAGAUCAUGCUGGCAUCAUGAUCUCGAAAUUCCAGUCUCCAGAACUGUGAGAAAUAAAUUUCUGUCACUGAUCCACCACCCACUAUGGCCCUUUGUUGUAGCAGCCUGGGCUGGCUGAGCUGGUGAUGGCGAUCAUCCCACAGAGGUGCAUGUCUGCAGUGUGCCAGCAGCUAUCCCUCAUGCUGACAUUCACUGUCGCAUUUAAUUUCCUCAAUGAUCCUAUGAGGUAGGUACUAAUAUCUCCAUUUUAUAAACAAAGAAGUGAAGUGCCCAGAGAAGUCAGAGAGCUGCCCAAGUCACACAGCUGGGGUGUGAUGGAGCAGGGACCCAGAGCCCAGAGGUUAGCACUGAACUUAGAGGUUUGGACAGGGGUGUCUGACAUGAGAGUCUGCAUUCUCCCUCCAGUGUACCCCCAUCUCUGAGCUAAAAAGUGAAGACCCAGCCAGAUGCCAGGUCCAUAGGAAAGCACAUGACCCAUCUGUCGCCAGCCCUCUGUCACCUCUGCCUCAGACUUUGGGUUCAGCACCAGAAAUAGUUCCUUCAAGCCCAGGAGUGACCCGGGCUGCAAUCAACUUCCUUGGCUUGUUGCAGUCACUGUUUGGAAAGCUAGAAGCCUGGGGGAAACUGAGGCUUUGGGGAAAACUAAGCAAGCCACACUGUUCCAGGCACUGAGGAUAUAGCAGUAAACAAAACAAAGAUCUUGUCUUCAAUGUCUUCUAACAUUCUAAGGGGAUCCCAGCACCCUGCCAAGUCUGUAUUCUCCUCUGCCUCAAGAGCAGGAGUCUCCUGACCAUUGAGUCUUCCAGACAUUGCCUCUUCACAGGAGCGCUUCCUGGCUGGCCGCCCUAGCCUGUCUCUUCCUCCAUUGAACACUCACAGGGCCUGACGGCUAAACAGUUCAAGUGGCCACAUAGUUUCCUGGUUUUAGGUUUCAGGUUUGUUUACACCCAGAGAGCAGGGGACCCGUCUUCCCUCCGCCACCUCCUUUCAUAGAAGUAGAAGAGGGUUAGGCAUGUAGCCCAGACUUUCAAGAAUAUUUCUUCUGAUGAUGGAGACACUGCAACCUUACCAUGGCAUAUUUCCUAUGUGUCCUGGUUCUUAAAUAUAUCAUUCAUUCAGUCAAGGAAAAAUAAGAUUAAGACUACAGGAAAAGACUUGCGGGUCAUCCACUAACAGACGAGAGUUCCAGCUGGGAAACAGAGGAGAUACCCCAGGGAAGUGGAGACAAGGAAUGCCACACACUCAACAGAAAUCUGAUUGAGAAAGGAGGGAGAAAUGUGGGAUGGUAGCCAAAGAAAGUAGAGUUGAGGAAGGACAGGAAUCAGAUUAAGAGGAAAGAGCCCGGGAUAGGAGGAAUGGCAAGAUUGAGCUGGAAGGGCCCAGAGAAGGCGGCAGGUAGAUCCCAGAGGAGGCCUCCUGCUCUCCCAUGGGCUGGAAGAGGAAAGGGUGGGUGAUUUUCCAGAGGAGCCCUGGGCAGUUUGAGGGGGUGCAGGUCAGAAAGCCAGGACCUCUUGGAUUUGGAGGUGGUGCAAAUGGCAGUGGGAGGAUCUGGGUGUCAGGAGGUUUGAGAAAGAUAAAGGGGCUGGCUCUGCUUUGAGGAACCCCAUCACGGGGGUGAGGGCGGGUAGGUACAGGAGUUGCUGGGGGAGGUGCUGUGAGCUCUGGGAGGCUGGAGAGAAGUAGGUGGCUGGGUCACCUCUUUCUACCAGAGGGAAGAGAGCAGGCCCGCUGAGCCUGUCUCCCCCAGAUCACCCAUGAGCCCCCCAAAAGCCUGGGGCUGCCCUGACUCAGCUUUUUCUCCUACCUGAGCCAGAGAGGUGAGUUUUAGGUGGGGAAAGGUGGGAAUCUCCACCUCUGGAGCCCCCAGCAGCCUAGCAGGUCUGCAGAAAGGGCCUGCCCCUGCCCAGAAAGGUCUGCCUACUUCUGUUCACCUUCAAGACAACCGGCAACAGAGAACUCUCUCACCAGGCACUGCUGUCAUUUUAUUUUUGUCUGAGUAAAGGUGACGGAUUUAAGGCCUCAGCAAAAUGCCAGCUCCCCAAACUAGUCCUAUUCUGGAGGAAAUGACCAAAGAAUUUGCCCUAGAUUUCCGCCCAGACUCAGAGAAGCCCCAGAUGCCAGAGCUGGGCAGGGACAGUGAGGCUUGGCAGGAGAAGUGCCACCGGAGUGGAUUCAAUGGCUCUUCCUCAGUGCACACUACCUUCCGGGCGUGGAGGGUGGUCAGCCAGCCAGCCAUGCCUGGACACUUGCAGGGAUGGGCUGCCCUGCCCUCCUCCAGCAGCCAGCUCCAUUUCUGUAUGGUUUUGAGUGGUUUCCAGUCCUUCUCUCAUCUGAGACAGUCUCCUUCCCUAUAAGUUCCCUGUUUGAUUCAAAGCCUGCCCGGGGCCUAUAGCACACUGGUGCUCCUCCUGUCCUGUGUCAGGUGCAGAGACAUGGCCCCACAGAGCCCACAUUGCCUUUACCUGGAGAGCCCUUGGCCACACCGGUGGUGGCACUUGGUGUGUUGAUUGUUUACUCUGGAGCCCAUUUUACAGGUGGCAAUAGUUGGGACAGAGGGACUAGCCUGGGGUCAGCCAGUGACAACGCUGGGGUCAGAACAUUUAUGGUUUCCUGAUUUGCAGCCCAGGAUUCCUUGAGCUGAGACUUGGGCUGCCUCCCUGACUGCUGGGCUAUAGAGAGAAUCUGGGGUGGCAGGGGAGGCCCAUGGUGAUGCCCAGGUGCCCAGUGGUCCCUGCCUUGUGCCUGGGCCAGACCAGAGCUGCCAGGAGACAGGGUCCCUGUCCUCUCCU